AACGUAGGUGGCGAGCGUUAUCCGGAUUUACUGGGCGUAAAGGGUGUGCAGGCGGGCUGUUAAGUGGUGCAUGAAAUCUCCGCGCUUAACGUGGAGAGGCUGUGCCAGACUGGCAGUCUAGAGUACGAGAGAGGGUUGUGGAAUUCCGGGUGUAGUGGUGAAAUGCGUAGAGAUCCGGAGGAACACCAGAGGCGAAGGUGGCAACCUGGCUCGUAACUGACGCUGAGGAGCGAAAGCGUGGGGAGCGAACAGG
rnacentral:rRNA from 1 species